GCGUUAUCCGGAUUUACUGGGUUUAAAGGGUGCGUAGGCGGGUAGGUAAGUCUGUGGUGAAAUCUUCAAGCUUAACUUGGAAACUGCCAUUGAUACUAUUUAUCUUGAAUACUUUGGAGGUAAGCGGAAUAUGUCAUGUAGCGGUGAAAUGCUUAGAUAUGACAUAGAACACCAAUUGCGAAGGCAGCUUACUACACAGUUAUUGACACUGAGGCACGAAAGCGUGGGGAUCAAACAGG
rnacentral:rRNA from 1 species